UAAUAAAAUAAAGCAUCAUCAUCUAAAUGAGAGAUAAAGGAAUACGGAAUACCGUACAGUCCAGGAGCAGAAUCCUUAACAUGAGACAAUACACCUUUUAGUUCAGUGAGAGAAAAUAUACUGUUUAAACCAAAACAGUUAUCAUUAUUUAUAUUUAUUACAGGGUAACCAAUUAUUAAGUCUUCAGGAACGAAAGGUGGAGCCAAUUUAUCUAAAAAGCUAUUAACUAAAUGAAAAGGGAUUGAUUUUGGAGAUGAUUCUUUGCAUGCAGAUCUAAACCUUCUUAUAUUUUGCCAUACAAGAGAUGGUUUGACAUCAGCAUAUUUUCUUCUCUUUACUGCCUCAGUACAUUCGUUAUCCCACCAAGGAGGAGAAGGAAUAAAACCCAAAGAGCUAUUUUUACUUGGAAAUAUCUCAUUGGCAACCUCAAUAAAGAUUCUUGCUAAAGAAUUUGCACACUGAGAUUCUGUACCUGGAUUAAUUUUUGGAAGUGUUGGAAAUGAUAAUAAUAGUGGGAAGUGAUCACUACCAAAAGUAGAUUGUAAUGGAUCCCAGGACAAAGAAGAAGCAAGAUUAGGUGUAGUGACUGUUAAAUCUGGAGCACUUGGGCCCUCGUCAGGAUGAGAACGUCGUGUAGGACGACCAUCAUUUAAUAUACACAAAUUCACUGAAUCAAAUAUAUCUAUUAAUGUGUUACCAUAACUAUUAGAAGAUAAGUAACCCCAGGAUUCAUGGCGACAGUUAAAAUCACCAAGGAUCAUAAAAGGCUUCGGAAGAAUGGAAAUAAUAUCUUUAAUUUCAUUUAAGAUUGCAGAAGAAGGAUGAGGUAUAUAAAUAGAUACAUAACAGAUAUUUUCAACUAAAGCAGCAAUAAUAGAAAAAUCAUUACUGUGAGAAGGAAUAGAGAAGAGAGAAAAGGAAAGAGGGUGUUUCACAAGCAUGGCUACUCCGCCAUGCCCAUCCACACGAUCUUCUCUGAGACAUGAAUAACCUCGAAUCUUAAAUAAAGAUCCUGGUUUCAACCAUGUCUCUUGAAGAGACACAGAUAUAAGAAACUAAUAAGGCAGCGUUGGACGGUGAAAAUUCAUUCGAUUGACUAAGAGAUUUUAUAAGAGAAAUAAUUAAAUCAAUUACUGAGGAUUCCAAA